GGGGGCUGAGGUGUGUUGUUAGCUCAUGUGCCACUAUGUGGUCAAAGAUUGUGCCCACUUCCUGAAAUCACAAACCGAAUUGGGAGAGUUUGAGAGACGGGGGAAAACAACAAAAUAGUCAAUGGCCCAUAAAGCAGUUUUGGAAAAGGUUCAGAAAAGGUGGAAGCAAAAUGUAGAACAUAUAAAUACCGUUUUCCAUAAGGUAUAUAAUGUAAUUUCUUUAUUUUCAAGUGGUUUCUAGUGACAAUGUGCCGUAAAUGUGUACUACUGAAUCAAACCACUAGGGGGGGAACGUGUAUAGGAAAAUAUCGCUUCAGGAGUCAUGUUGAGAACCGGAGGAUGAAUUAUGUUCUUUAAUAUAGCCUAAUUUAAAAUAAUCUUGAGCUACAUAUCUAAGUAAUUUAAGGUAAUGUCCGGUCUUUCCUUGGGUGAUGUUUACGUUUAUAAGAACAAUGUAGCUGUGGAACUGUGAAGGAUAUUGCAGCUGAUAAACAGAAAUUCCCAAUGGGGCCGAAUAAGCGGAUUUGCACGAUGAUCGUGAGAAGGGGUUCCACGUGACUGACUCGUAACCAGUUUAUACCACCUGGGCUUAGGUAGGGAGAGAGAGAAAAAACUAACGGAUAGGUUCUCACUACCGGUGUGACCCACACCACAGGAUCUGGGAAAUUCCGUGCAUGCGGAGACCUUUCUGACACGCCUUUAAAAGCGCCUUAAGCAAGCAAGAACAAGCAGAAUGUGUUUAAAGCAAGAAGCCAAAACAGUCACAAAACACCGAAACAGUAGGUGAGCGGCGUUUGGGUUUCUCACCCGGGCCGUGGUGUCCUGCCCACGGAAAGGCGGAGCGCGUCGUUUACGCAGGAUGUGGUCUUUAAUCAAAGGUUAACGGUGUUUCCUCUCGGCUACCGUGAAAGCCUCACAUUGUGGGAUGUGUAUGGGGGGGGGUUGGCGACAUUAUGUACCCACACCUUCAGCUGACACAGGCACGAGCGUUCCUGUUAGCCCUCCCCGUUUAAACAUUCUCUCUGUGAUGCACACAUUAACCACGAUGACCAAGUGACCCUCGUCCCUGACAAAGUCUUCCUCCAUCAGUAAAAACAUUGACAAAACGCCGUAAUGUCCGUAUUUAAAUUAAACAGACUGAAACGAGCUGUGAACCGGAUCCCAUAACGUUCCAAUUUUUUAUAUGGCCUAAUACAGUAAUCACAUGAAUCCGAAAGGUUACUAACGCAUGCAAGCGCCUUCUACAUUUCCCCACUUCUUGCAGAACAUGAGUUAGUCGUUAUUAAAAUAAAAUAAAGUUUUUUGAGUGCAUUAAGGCUGGGUUGAUUGGGGAGUAUGAGCCCCGUUUUUGUUACUGAACUAAGAAAAGGGAGGGAAUUUUUUAAAAGUAUUAUAUUAUUGUGAAAUAAAUAUUUAUCCCUUUUCAUAAUACAAAAUCAAUAUUCAAGUUCUAGUCCUGCAUUAUGAAUAUAUGAACAUUUUUCGGAUGAUCUGGGGAAAAUAAUUGGAAAACAACUGGUAGAAAUGCACUCCACUGAUUAUUAAUAGCGGUAGCUAAUUCGGCAUUGAGCUUGUCUGUCUGUCACAGUGCUUUUGGUAGUUUGUUUGCUCUUGAAAAAAAACAUACUCACUGGAUCUUUAUUGAACGUUGUUGAUGGAUUUAAGGUUAAAAAAAAAUCUUCCAUCAAUCCACACGAGGCCAGUAGACAUCCCCAAACAGCAAGAGUAUAGGCACCCCUCAACAACAGCGGGUGCAGAAUGUAGCCAGGGACGAGGGAACAGGGCCGUACGACACGUGAGCUACUACUCAUGUAGAAUUUCCGUAUGCUAUUACUGUCACUUUUGCCUGUUUCCUCUCCAGACAGGUGUUUAACUCUCGAGGUUUGUUCUCUGGCUGUCCACAACAGAAGUUCAGAGCAAGUUAUCUGCGUUUGAAGAUGGUGAGGUGCUCCCGGCAGUGCACGGCCCCGAUGGCGUUCCCGGCGCAGUUCAUCCACAGCCCCUGGAACACCCAUGUGGCGGUGAUGACGGACGAGGCGCGGCUCGUGGUCUUCCACUCGUUGGACACGGUGGCGCCGAUGGUGGCGCCCAGGCCCACCAGAGCGCCCAGAAGGGCCAGGAUCUGCCUGCAGGACAUGGCGUCAGAGAAGGGGAGAACGCGCGGCCGGAAAGAGAGGUAAAAUCUGCAGCGGGGAAAGACUGGCUGGGAUCGAAUGCCUCAGGCUGGCAAAUUACACCGGGGACAUGUGUUUGACCGGAGAUCAUUUACACAGAUGACACCUGGCCUUCUUCUGUUUGUCCCAGAGAGGGGGGGAGGCCGAAAGAAGAGGGCCUUUUGGAAAUGAGAAUGCAAAUCCGGACACCCCGUAAAUCGAAAGUUUGCCAUUAACGUGACACUUCCGCCCUCAUGUUUUUUUUUUAGCGUUACCCCAGGGUGAGUUGCAGUUGAGUUUGAAAUUAACAUAUAAAAGAAAAUAAGAAUCAGUAAUCCUUUAGGCACAGAAUAAUGUCACAAAGUCCAGCUGACUGGUGAACUGUUUUACUUUUUUUUGUCAUUGUUGUUAAUGGAAUUUAGCAACCUCUGGUUACCGUAGCUACUCCAAUUACGUUGGGAAAUGUUGUGGCAAUUUGACUGGAGAGGGAGGGAAAUGCACAAGUGACCCCGCCUCUGAGCUCUGAGUAACUUUAUUAUCUGCCUGAGCUUCUGCUAUUGGUGUUACUUGUGCCAGAAAGUAAAGUUAGUAUGCGUAAGGCAGAGAUACUACAAAAAUUAGACAAUGAGGCCUCACAGAAAAAAUUAAUCAAGAUAAUACUCAAAUGAAUUAGUGAAAUAAAAAAAAUCAAGACAAAAGUAACAUUUUGGUGUCAAGCUCUCAUCAGUGCCAUUCUUACAACAAAAGAUAUUUAUAUAAAUAGAGUCCAAUGUAGUCCUCUGUCAUGGUUGUCUUUUUGUUUCUGUUUUUCCUUUUUGGGCCGCCAGAUGGCAGCACUUCUCAGUUUUGUAUUUCUGUUCGUUCCCUCAUUGGUUUCCCCUGUGUUAAUUGUAUUAUUGUUUUCUAUUAUUGUUUUCAAUUAUUCAAUCAUUGUUUCUGUUUGUGUCUUGUUAUGUCCUCCCUCUUUGGUUUGAUUGUUCUUUGAGUUCACCUGUGUCUUAUUAGUUUCCCUGUCUAUUUAAGUUCUCUGCUUCCCUGACUCGGGUACUGGUUCCUUGUGUUUCUGCCUGCGUUUUCUGCUUGUGUUUCUGCCCGUGUGUUCCUGCCUGCCAGUUGUCUGUUUGUUUGUUUUUCUGCCCUGGAAUUUUGGAUUUUCUUCUGUUUUUCUGUUUUUGAAGAAUCACUUUGUGUUUUUGUGAGUAGCCCUGCGUGGCCUUGUUUUGGUUUUCUGCUUUUCGUUACCGUUUGUGAUUAAAGUCUUUGUUUGGA